AGUGAACGCUGGCGGUAGGCCUAACACAUGCAAGUCGAACGGCAGCACAGUAAGAGCUUGCUCUUACGGGUGGCGAGUGGCGGACGGGUGAGGAAUACAUCGGAAUCUACUUUUUCGUGGGGGAUAACGUAGGGAAACUUACGCUAAUACCGCAUACGACCUACGGGUGAAAGCAGGGGAUCUUCGGACCUUGCGCGAUUGAAUGAGCCGAUGUCGGAUUAGCUAGUUGGCGGGGUAAAGGCCCACCAAGGCGACGAUCCGUAGCUGGUCUGAGAGGAUGAUAGGCCACACUGAAACUGAGACACGGUCCAGACUCCGAGGGGAGGCAGAAGUGGGGAAUAUUGGAAAAGGGGGGAAAGCCUGAUCAAGCCAUACCGGGUGGGUGAAGAAGGCCUGCGGGUUGUAAAGCCCUUUUGUGGGGAAAGAAAAGAAGCAGGUUAAUACCCCGCUGUUCUGACGGUACCAAAAGAAUAAGCACCGGCUAACUUCGU
rnacentral:rRNA from 1 species